GAUGAACGCUGGCGGCGUGCCUAAUACAUGCAAGUCGAGCGAACAGAUGAGGAGCUUGCUCCUCUGACGUUAGCGGCGGACGGGUGAGUAACACGUGGAUAACCUACCUAUAAGACUGGGAUAACUUCGGGAAACCGGAGCUAAUACCGGAUAAUAUAUUGAACCGCAUGGUUCAAUAGUGAAAGACGGUUUUGCUGUCACUUAUAGAUGGAUCCGCGCCGCAUUAGCUAGUUGGUAAGGUAACGGCUUACCAAGGCAACGAUGCGUAGCCGACCUGAGAGGGUGAUCGGCCACACUGGAACUGAGACACGGUCCAGACUCCUACGGGAGGCAGCAGUAGGGAAUCUUCCGCAAUGGGCGAAAGCCUGACGGAGCAACGCCGCGUGAGUGAUGAAGGUCUUCGGAUCGUAAAACUCUGUUAUUAGGGAAGAACAAAUGCGUAAGUAACUAUGCACGUCUUGACGGUACCUAAUCAGAAAGCCACGGCCAACUACGUG
rnacentral:rRNA from 1 species